rnacentral:rRNA from 1 species
UUCGAAUGUGAUUUAUUUCUUUGAUUAUUAAUAGUUAUGAUCUUUAAAAUUAAAAAAUUUGGCGGUAUUUUAGUCUGUUCAGAGGAACCUGUUUUUUAAUUGAUAGUCCACGAUAAUUUUUACUUUAGUUUUUAGUUUGCAUAUCGUCGUUUAUAAAAAUUUUAGGAGAAUUGUAAUUUUUUGGAUAUUUGAUUAGAUAGUAUUUCAGAUCAAGGUGUAGUUUAUAUUGAAGUUAGAAUGGGUUACAUUAUAUUUAUGUGUGGUUUUAUUAUUUAAAUUUUUAAUUAAAAUGGAUUUGAGAGUAAUUUUCUUAUUUUUGGAAUUUGAUUUAGCUCUAAAAUAUGU